GACGAACGCUGGCGGCGUGCCUAACACAUGCAAGUCGAACGGAAAGGCCCUGCUUUUGUGGGGUGCCCGAGUGGCGAACGGGUGAGUAACACGGGAGUAACCUGCCCAUGACUUUGGGAUAACUUCAGGUAACUGGGGCUAAUACCUGAUAGGUGAGCCAGCUGCAUGGUGGGGGUCGGAAAGCUUGGGCGGUGGGGGAUGGACUCGCGGGUUAUCAGCUUGUUGGUGGGGGAGUGGCUUAGGAUGCCUUCGACGGGUCGCCGGCCAGGGUGGGUAGACAGCCACAAUGGGACUGAGAUACGGCCCAGACUGGUACGGGGGGCAGCGGUGGGGAACAUUGCACAAGGGGCGGAAGCCUGAUGCAACAGCGCCGCGUGCGGGAUGACGGCCUUCGGGUUGUAAACCGCAUUCGCCUGUGACGAAGCGUGAGUGACGGUAAUGGGUAAAGAAGCACCGGCUAACUACGUG
rnacentral:rRNA from 1 species